ensembl:lncRNA
GGGACAGGCCUUUCUUUUGUCAAGUGUGGGAAGGACUGUGUGAGCACAAGUUCAUUCUCCAGCAGGUGAAUUUUUGGAAACAGUUCAUAUGGAAGACGAGGAUCUGGAAAUGAGUUCCCUUGAAACCAUCUGUACAGACAUGGCCCGUGGAACAUCCUUCUGUCCUCUCCCUGUUUGGAAGCUUCCACCCAGAGGUUCAGGGCCCAGGAGCUCUGUCUGAGAGAGCGCUAAGGGCAGAGGGCAGGGUUUUGCUGCUAAAAACAACACUUUGCAAAGCACAGCUUCCAUGGAGAAUCAGAGACAAAAGUGUAUGGUGGCUUCUCCUGACAAUUCUUAAAUGGCUUCUUAGGAAAUCACUGGCUCUCUAUGAAAAAAACUAUUCUUCUGCACUAUCUUUUCACAAAAUUUGUGUUUGUGACACUCACAGUAUGUACCAGGUUUUCUUGGACCUGUUUUGUGUGCAAAGCACGUAUAAGUCAAAGCCUUUUUCCGCAAGUGAGGUUGGUUAAGCAGAGAAAAGACAGCGAGGUGUUUUGUUUGUCUGGAAUCCUAUGGGCUUGGAGGCACAAUCUGGUGUACAGCAGGCCAGAGGGUCUGGAGUUAGCUGUGAUAUCAGAUAGGAUGAAGUUUCUUUGCACUAACAGUGUCAGGAGCUGGAACUGGAGUUACAAGUCUAGUUUAAAGAGCUAUCCAAAGGUUUCCAUUUCUACUGGCUUGAGGGCAAAAGAGGUUGUUGGGGGGCUUGCCUUUGGCCUCUGAGCCCAAGGGAUUCCAAAUGAAUGCUCCGCAAAGGUAAGCCUGUAUCAUUCAGCUUUGUGCAUUCAUCCCCAUAGCUUGUGCAAGGCAGACAGUGUUCAAUAAAGAAAUAUUGUACCUGAGAAUAAAAUGGCA